rnacentral:rRNA from 1 species
GCUUGUCUCAAAGAUUAAGCCAUGCAUGUCUCAGUAUAAGCUCUUGUACGGCAAAACUGCGAAUGGCUCAUUAAAACAGUUAUAGUUUAUUUGAUGGUCGCUUUUUACAUGGAUAUCGCAGGUAAUUCUUGUGCUAAUACAUGCGUCCUGACCCAACUUUGUGGAAGGGUUGUGUUUAUUAGAUACAGAACCAAUCCAGGCUUGCCUGGUUACCUGAUGAUUCAUGAUAACUGAAUGAAUCGCACGCUUCGGAGGCGAUAAAUCAUUCAAGUUUCUGACCUAUCAGCUUCCGACGGUAGGGUAUUGGCCUACCGUGGCUAUGACGGGUAACGGAGAAUUAGGGUUCGAUUCCGGAGAGGGAGCCUGAGAAACGGCUACCACAUCUAAGGAAGGCAGCAGG